rnacentral:rRNA from 1 species
CAGGCCUAACACAUGCAAGUCGAGCGGACCAUUCCUUCGGGGAUGGUUAGCGGCGGACGGGUGAGUAACACGUAGGCAACCUGCCUGUAAGAUCGGGAUAACUACCGGAAACGGUAGCUAAGACCGGAUAGCUGGUUUCUCCGCAUGGGGGAAUCAUGAAACACGGGGCAACCUGUGGCUUACGGAUGGGCCUGCGGCGCAUUAGCUAGUUGGUGGGGUAAUGGCCCACCAAGGCGACGAUGCGUAGCCGACCUGAGAGGGUGAUCGGCCACACUGGGACUGAGACACGGCCCAGACUCCUACGGGAGGCAGCAGUAGGGAAUCUUCCGCAAUGGGCGCAAGCCUGACGGAGCAACGCCGCGUGAGUGAUGAAGGUUUUCGGAUCGUAAAGCUCUGUUGCCAAGGAAGAACGCCUCGGAGAGUAACUGCUCUGAGGGUGACGGUACUUGAGAAGAAAGCCCCGGCUAACUACGUGCCAGCAGCCGCGGUAAUACGUAGGGGGCAAGCGUUGUCCGGAAUUAUUGGGCGUAAAGCGCGCGCAGGCGGUCUUUUAAGUUUGGUGUUUAAGCCCGGGGCUCAACCCCGGUUCGCACUGAAAACUGGGAGACUUGAGUGCAGGAGAGGAAAGCGGAAUUCCACGUGUAGCGGUGAAAUGCGUAGAGAUGUGGAGGAACACCAGUGGCGAAGGCGGCUUUCUGGACUGUAACUGACGCUGAGGCGCGAAAGCGUGGGGAGCAAACAGGAUUAGAU